AUUUUAGCAAUGGGUUGAAUACUCUCCUUCUCUGGACUGUUUUCUCCUUAUCAAAAUGGGCGUGGAUAACGUAACUUUUCUCAUCAUGUGGUUUAUGGUUAUGUUCGUUACAUUAUCGUCAGGAAUUCUCGUCAUCAUGUAUCGAGUUGGAUGCUUCAAGUGCGACAGAAAAAUCGGCGUUGCAGACCUCCCUACCAGUUUGCAGAAAUUGAUCCGUACUUAAACAACACCUUUUGCCGUCACCAUCAAUUCGCUAAUAAGUUUUCAUGAAAACUGUUCCCAUGAAACAGGACCCCAACAAUCCCAGCAGCAGCAGAAACAGGGAGAGCAAGAAAGGGACGCCGAAGCUGCUACUGCCGAUGGGAUACGUUUGGAAGACAUGAGUCCACGUGAUCAGCAGUCACACCCCCACAACAAUCAGCCCCACUCGUCGUCAUCGGCCAGGACGGUGGGGCCGGCCCCACGGAUUCUGCUCCAACGUCAGCACACUGACCGGAGUGAGGGGAGCAGUGGCGGAGGUCGCGGCGUUGGGCCCAACAAGGUCUGCACCGUUUGUGGCGAACCUUUGGGACCGGAAGAGGAGACGACGGACAAUAGCCACCCCUCCUGCAGAGACAUGGAUGCAUCAUUUUUUUGAAAGACUUGCUUGAUAAUGACUGUCAACCAAUGCAUUCACAUCACACAUAUGUACAACUUCUGUACCUUCAUCAUCUCUAAUGGUCUCCUGCUCAAUACUCUAUUUUACUCAUUUAUCGAUUAUAAAAUCUGUAAAAAUACUGUGUUCCUCGUUUUACGGGAUAAA